CCUACCCCUAGAGACGUUGCAGGCAUGGCUGCUAUCUCACAUGUGUGUCCAUAGGUGACAGAGAGGAGAAAGUCUAUGUCUCUUUUAAAUGUUCUGACCUAUGAACAUCUGAAUAAUUAGUAACCUACCAUU